UUGUCAAACUUUAUGCUUUUCUACAUGAACAAGGGUUGAAAAAUGCUCCAAUUGGAGAACUGUCCUACUGAACCUAUAGUGCAAAAUUACAUAACUUUUCGAGAUUUUUAUCUAUAGAUGGAGGGAUGGAUGUUGAUGUUGACCAUAAAAUGUUUAGAUGAGGUUAUGAAGAGGAAUAUUUAUUUUUAUAUCACAGCAUAACAGCAAUACACAACAAGCUUUAUUAAACGUCGGUUUUUUAAUUUUUUACAUAUCAAAAUGAAGAUGUGUAUAAAUAGGAAAUAGAUAUACGAAAGUUGGAAUAUUAUUUGGCUGUGAACUGAUUUCAUUCUUCAAGUAUUGAACAUUUUAACUUGCACAUCUCACAUUCAUGUACUGCGAAAAAUUAGUGCCUUUAAAAUAUUCAAUGCUUUUAGAUAAAUAAACGAUUAAAUAUUA